UUAACUAACUUACUAGGAUGUGGAGAAAUAUAAAUAUUUACACACGGAAAGCUAUACCUGUACCAACACAGCACCAGCAGCAUCACCAACAAGGGCGAGGCCGAAUUAGUUACCUCUAGGAAGUUCUUCAUAAAUUUCUUGUCCAGUGGGCUACUCUUGUUGGGGUUCGGCCUCGCCCUUGUUGCCACAAGCACCUGGCUGCUUCUGGACCAGACACUUCCUUGGUGUACCCAUCCUAAUUAAUAAGGAGAUGUCUUUGCUACCAUUCAACAUAAAAAAAGAAAACUCACUACACUAAGCUAACAAAGGAUUUGAUAUCUUUUAUCAUGUUGUUUUCUAAUAUUUGUGAUAUAUGCUAUUUAAUCUUGUAUGGUCUAAUAGAGACGUAUAGAGUGGGUUUUUAUUCACAUAUUUGUGAUAUAUGCUAUUUAAUCAUUUUCAUUUUCAUAUUGUGUGUCUCUUUAUAAUGAUGUUUUUAUCUCUACUAUAAGAUUAAUGGCACUGGACUUAAUCAAAGUAUAGAGAACUGAAACUCAUAGCAGUAGCACUGGCACUGGCAUUGACACACUUAAUCACUUCACAGUUCACAAUGUUUAUUUUUGCUUGAAGGUGGUCUGUUUUUUGCCAAGCAUGCAUGCACCUUGUUAGUUGUGGUUGUGGGCAGGCAGGCAGACAAUGCGUUCUGCAAGCAAUCCAUCUUUUUAUCUCCAUGCAGACUGAAACAAGCCUUUGCUUGCACCGAAAUUCUUCCAAGAUCCUUGCUAACCGGCAGUUAGCUCAGAGGUCGCAGGUGAGGAAGUUGCAGUACAUCUCCGAGCCCAAGCGCAACUGUCACAACACUGCAGGGUUCCGCAAAUGUUGGAAAAUAUGCAUUUAUCAGUGCAAUGCUAAGAACAAUGGCGUACAAGGACCCGGUGGCAGCGGCAGCUCAAAAAUACAAGCCAAUACAGUCUGCUGUUCCUAGAACAACCCUUGGCCCUAUUCAAAUUGAAGCAUUUUUAGGCGGAGGGAACCUGUGUUUGAUUGAAUUCUACACCAGUUCUUGGAAGAGAAAGCCUCACCAAGUCAUCAUCUCCAGGAACGAUGUUAGCGAAAGUCAAUUUAAUCUGGUGCUGAACAUUGAGUUGCAACAAAUCAUCGAUGGAGACUGAGUCACCGCAGCUAGAAACCACUAUCUCAAGGUGCUGAACAUUGAGUUGCAACAAAUCAUUGAUGGAGACCGAGUCACUGCAGCCAGAAACCAUUGUCUCAAUUUGAGGAGAUUUUUCAUCUAUGUUUGUUAGAAGGCAUAAUGCAUAUUUAUCUCUUGUAUUCGAACAUUUGGCAAUUAAGAAAUAGAAGAUUACUUCCCCAAUAUCCCUUCUUCCUAAUCUCACCUUUCACGGCUUCUGGGGAACA